rnacentral:rRNA from 1 species
UUACACAUGCAAGUCGAACGAUGAUGCCCAGCUUGCUGGGCGGAUUAGUGGCGAACGGGUGAGUAAUACGUGAGUAACCUGCCCUUGACUCUGGGAUAAGCCUGGGAAACUGGGUCUAAUACUGGAUACUACCUCUUACCGCAUGGUGGGUGGUGGAAAGGGUUUUACUGGUUUUGGAUGGGCUCACGGCCUAUCAGCUUGUUGGUGGGGUAAUGGCUCACCAAGGCGACGACGGGUAGCCGGCCUGAGAGGGUGACCGGCCACACUGGGACUGAGACACGGCCCAGACUCCUACGGGAGGCAGCAGUGGGGAAUAUUGCACAAUGGGCGGAAGCCUGAUGCAGCGACGCCGCGUGAGGGAUGACGGCCUUCGGGUUGUAAACCUCUUUCAGUAGGGAAGAAGCGAGAGUGACGGUACCUGCAGAAGAAGCGCCGGCUAACUACGUGCCAGCAGCCGCGGUAAUACGUAGGGCGCAAGCGUUGUCCGGAAUUAUUGGGCGUAAAGAGCUCGUAGGCGGUUUGUCGCGUCUGCUGUGAAAGCCCGGGGCUCAACCCCGGGUCUGCAGUGGGUACGGGCAGACUAGAGUGCAGUAGGGGAGACUGGAAUUCCUGGUGUAGCGGUGAAAUGCGCAGAUAUCAGGAGGAACACCGAUGGCGAAGGCAGGUCUCUGGGCUGUUACUGACGCUGAGGAGCGAAAGCAUGGGGAGCGAACAGGAUUAGAUACCCUGGUAGUCCAUGCCGUAAACGUUGGGCACUAGGUGUGGGGGACAUUCCACGUUUUCCGCGCCGUAGCUAACGCAUUAAGUGCCCCGCCUGGGGAGUACGGCCGCAAGGCUAAAACUCAAAGGAAUUGACGGGGGCCCGCACAAGCGGCGGAGCAUGCGGAUUAAUUCGAUGCAACGCGAAGAACCUUACCAAGGCUUGACAUUCACCGGACCGCCCCAGAGAUGGGGUUUCCCUUCGGGGCUGGUGGACAGGUGGUGCAUGGUUGUCGUCAGCUCGUGUCGUGAGAUGUUGGGUUAAGUCCCGCAACGAGCGCAACCCUCGUUCUAUGUUGCCAGCACGUGAUGGUGGGGACUCAUAGGAGACUGCCGGGGUCAACUCGGAGGAAGGUGGGGAUGACGUCAAAUCAUCAUGCCCCUUAUGUCUUGGGCUUCACGCAUGCUACAAUGGCCGGUACAAAGGGUUGCGAUACUGUGAGGUGGAGCUAAUCCCAAAAAGCCGGUCUCAGUUCGGAUUGAGGUCUGCAACUCGACCUCAUGAAGUCGGAGUCGCUAGUAAUCGCAGAUCAGCAACGCUGCGGUGAAUACGUUCCCGGGCCUUGUACACACCGCCCGUCAAGUCACGAAAGUUGGUAACACCCGAAGCCGGUGGCCUAACCCCUUGUGGGAGGGAGCCGUCGAAGGUGGGACUGGCGAUUGGGACUAAGUCGUAAC